GACGAACGCUGGCGGCGUGCCUAACACAUGCAAGUCGAGCGAGUGAAUCUCCUUCGGGAGUGAAGCUAGCGGCGGACGGGUGAGUAACACGUGGGCAACCUGCCUCAUAGAGGGGAAUAGCCUUUCGAAAGGAAGAUUAAUACCGCAUAAGAUUGUAGCUUCGCAUGAAGUAGCAAUUAAAGGAGCAAUCCGCUAUGAGAUGGGCCCGCGGCGCAUUAGCUAGUUGGUGAGGUAACGGCUCACCAAGGCGACGAUGCGUAGCCGACCUGAGAGGGUGAUCGGCCACAUUGGGACUGAGACACGGCCCAGACUCCUGCGGGAGGCAGCAGUGGGGAAUAUUGCACAAUGGGGGAAACCCUGACGCAGCAACGCCGCGUGAGUGAUGACGGCCUUCGGGUUGUAAAGCUCUGUCUUCAGGGACGAUAAUGACGGUACCUGAGGAGGAAGCCACGGCUAACUACGUGCCAGCCGCCGCCGUAACAC
rnacentral:rRNA from 1 species